rnacentral:rRNA from 1 species
GACGAGGGAUCCUAGCGUUGUUCGGAAUCAUUGGGCGUAAAGCGGGUGUAGGCGGGCUUAUAAGUCAGAUGUGAAAUCCCAGGGCUUAACCCUGGAAGUGCAUUUGAUACUGUAAGUCUUGAGUGUGGUAGAGGUUACUGGAAUUCCUGGUGUAGUGGUGAAAUACGUAGAUAUCAGGAGGAAUACCGGAGGCGAAGGCGAGUAACUGGGCCAACACUGACGCUGAGAUCCGAAAGCGUGGGGAUCAAACAGG